rnacentral:misc_RNA from 1 species
GAUGAAGAACGCAGCGAAAUGCGAUAAGUAAUGUGAAUUGCAGAAUUCAGUGAAUCAUCGAAUCUUUGAACGCACAUUGCGCCCUUUGGUAUUCCGAAGGGCAUGCCUGUUCGAGCGUCAUUUCACCACUCAAGCCUGGCUUGGUAUUGGGCGCCGCGGUCGAUCCGCGCGCCUCAAAGUCUCCGGCUGAGCUGUCCGUCUCUAAGCGUUGUGAUUUCAUUAAUCGCUUCGGAGUGCGGGCGGCCGCGGCCGUUAAAUCUUUCACAAGGUUGACCUCGGAUCAGGUAGGGAUACCCGCUGAACUUAAGCAUAUCAAUAGCGGAGGA